UGCCUAUGGGGGGCAGCAGUGGGGAAUAUUGGGCAAUGGGCGCAAGCCUGACCCAGCAACGCCGCGUGAAGGAAGAAGGCUUUCGGGUUGUAAACUUCUUUUCUCAGGGACGAAGAAAGUGACGGUACCUGAGGAAUAAGCCACGGCUAACUACGUGCCAGCAGCCGCGGUAAUACGUAGGUGGCAAGCGUUAUCCGGAGUUAUUGGGUGUAAAGGGCGUGUAGGCGGGGGCGCAAGACAGAUGUGAAAACUCAGGGCUCACCCCUGCGCCUGCAGUUG
rnacentral:rRNA from 1 species